rnacentral:lncRNA from 1 species
CAAAUUCUAAACCACUAACCAAUAAAAGAUAAAACAAACACUUGACUGACUACCCAUUAAUCUUCUUUCCCCAUCUUUCACGUUAUCUUUCCCCACCAUUCACGUUUUCAAUUUUCUCUUUCUUUAAAUUUCUUUGCAGAUCAAGAAAAACAAAUUAUUCAAGGUUCUCAUAAUUUGCUCAGCAAUUCUCUGAAUGAAUUCAAGAAAUCUCUCAAUUGAUAAAGGUAAUUUCGAUUAUUUAGUGAGCUUUUGAUUUUGUAUUCAAUCAUCAAUUAUGUUGUAUUUCUGAUUUUAUAUAUUAUGGAUUUUUAUUAAUUUUUUUCGAUUUUUGUGUGAGUUUGUUGAGAUAUUCAUCAAAUAUAAUUAACUCGAAGAAGAUCGAAUAGUUUCUGUGGAAUGAUUAGGAAGACAAAAUACAAUUUAAAAAAAUGGAUUUUUUAAGAAUAGAGAAAAAAACGCUAGAAAGAAUAAUGACGACAUAUGCUCUUUCAAUAUGUAAUUUAUGUUAACUUUAAUUUUUUUUAAAAAAAAAAUUCAAAUAUUUUGUCCUUUGAUUUUCUCUAUUUUGUUGUUUAAUAUAUGUUUUCUUUCAAAGUAAUUAAAAAAAAAUACAUAACUCAAUCCUUAACAAACUUAAUUUUUAAAUAAAUAGUGAAACUAUGCUAAGGAGUCUCAUUAGAAGCUAAAAUAUUAUUCUUUUAAGAAUUUUAAAUUAGCAAACUAGUCAUAAUACCUAAUAUAAUUAGUUAAAACAACUAAAAUUUAAAAUAUUUAUUUAAAGUAUCAAAAUGUCAAUAUUUUAAAAAAUAAUUUGUAUCCAAAAUAUUAUUAUUUAUCUUUUCUUUUUAUUUCUCAAAACAAUCCAACAUUGGAUCAAAUUUUAAACAGUAACAAAAAAAAAGAAAAAAAAAAAACAAACACAUGACUGACUACCCAUUAAUCUUUUUUUCCCAUGACUUUUUCUUUCCCCACCAUUCACGUUUUCUGUUUUCUCUUUCUUCAAGUUCCUUUGCAUAUCAAGAAAAACAAAUAUUCCAGAUUUUUAUAAUUUGCUCAACAAUUCUCUAAAUUAAUUCAAGAAUUUCCUCAAUUGAUAAAGGUAAUUUUGAUUAUUUACUCAGAUUUCUUUUAAUUUUAUUUUCAAAAUCACUGAUUAUGUUUCCUUUUUUAUUAUAUAUAUCAUAGAUUUUUUUACUUUUGUGAGUUUGUCGAAUUCAACUCGAAGAAGAUUGAAUAGUUUCUGUCGAAUGAUUCGGCAGACAAAAUACAUUUUUUUUAAAAAUGGAAUAUUUAAGAAUAGAGGAGAAAACGCUCGAAAGAAUAAUGACGACAUAUGCUCUUUCAAUAUUUAAUUUAUGUUAACUUUAAUUUUUGUAAAUAAAUUAAAAUACUUUUCCCCAUAUUUUCUCUAUUCUGUUGUUUAAUAUAUGUAUUCUUUCAAAUGAAUAAAAAAAAAAAAACAUCACUCAAGCCUUAACAAACUUAAAGAUUGACAUUUUAAAUAAAUAAUGAAAUUAUGGCUGAGAUCUCGCAUAGAAGCUAAAAAUUGUUGUUUUGAAAAUUUUCAUAAACUUGUCAUAAUAUCUAACAUAAUUAGUCAAAAACAACUACACUUUACAAUAUUUAUUUCUAAUGUCAAAAUGUCAAUAUUUUAGAAAAUAAUUUAUAUCCAAAAUAUUAUUAUUUAUCUUUUCUUUUUUUUCUCAAAACAGAUCAACAUUGUAUCAAAUUUUAAACCAUUAUUGAUAAUAAAGAAAAAACAAACACACGACUACCCAUUAAUCUUCUUUCCCCGUCUUUCACAUUUUCUUCCCCCAAGAUUCACGUUUUCUAUUUUUUCUUUCUUCAAGUUUCUUUGCAAAUCAAGAAAAACAAAUUAUUCAAGCUUCUCAUGAUUUGAUCAAUAAUUCUCUAAAUUAAUUCAAGAAAUCUAUCAAUUGAUAAAUUUAAUUUCAAUUUUUUAGUGUGAUUUCUUUUGCUUUUGUUUUCAAAAUCACCGAUUGUUUUGUAUUUCUCAUUGUAUAUAUUAUGAAUUUUUUGUCAUUUUUUUAAUUUUUAUGUGAGUUUGUUUAGAUAUUCAUCAAAUAUCUCGAAUUCAACUCGAAGAUAAUUGAAUUGUUUCUGUUAAUGAUUCUGUAGACACAUAAAUUGUAUUGGAUCAAAUUCAUACAAAAUUUGAAUUAAAUCCAUGUGUUGUGCGCUGAAUAAUUAAUUUGGGUUUUACAAAUAAAUAAGUCCAUCUUAUUAAAUGCAAAUCCAAGGUUCAUUUCACCUUGAAGCCCGAACCCAUGCCACAUAUCAUAGUGACUAGGCAUCCAAGACCAACAAGGUGACGCCACGUGUUCAAAUGAGGUGGUAGUCCCAGUCAAAUGCAAGAACGAAUCAAAAUGCACCAAGUGUCAAAAUGAUAUCCUUUGGCCAAUCACAAGCAACCUUGUCCACUCCCUACAACUAUAAAUAAGGGAUGUACAUGACAUUCAAGGGGAUCAAGAAAACUCUUCAACAAGCACUAAGAAAAUUGGAGAAAGCUACAACAUCAACAUGAAUAGUUCUUCGAAGGAGUGAACAACGGAGUUCUUCCCGGAGAGUGACUUACAACGACGAAGCACUUUUUGACGUCCCGAAAAUCGACAACAUCUCAAAAAGGUUUACAUCAUCCAAAAAUUUGGGAAAUACGCUACUGAAGGUCCUCGAUUAACGGAGAAACUUAGGAGAGAGAAUCAAGAAAACAAUGAAAUUGUACUCACAACGAUUCAUUAAUAAAAAUCACAUUUUUUCUUUUAUUUAUUUUGCUUGCAGUUAAUUUUUAGCGACUACAAAAAAUUUUUGCGAACAAAUUUAGCACGCCCAGUGGGAUCGAUUCUGCUCUGCAUCUCUUUCUCUUGCAAAUCAGAAACUACAAAGGCUACUACUGCAAUGGUGUUCAGAAAGAGUUGUGAUUUUUCUAUCAAGGACUCUAUUGAUGUCGUGUCUUCUGGUCUCGGUCAUGUUGUCCCUAUUACUCGGCGUAAGUUCAAUAACAGUGGGCUAGAUGGAUCUGAAUACUUCACUUCUUUGGAGGCAAUGAAAAGUAACAAUUCUCAUACAAUUGUCGUAAGUGCAACACCUAGAGGAAUCUUGCGUCUGUAUUCUUCGAAGAAUCUUCUCAAAUUGGCUCUAACUUUGGUGAUUCCAAAGAUUCAAUGGAUUCUCCAACUUCAAUGAAUGUCAAAGCUUAUAUGACUGACUCGACUGACAUGGACGAGAAGUUUUCAAUGAUGGAGCAAACCAUUGAGGCCUUGAAGAAAUCCGUUCAUGACAAAUAAAUUCAUAUUGCUCAACUUAUGAACAACUUGGAGGCCUUUACAUUUGGAGAGUCAAGUCACAUUCCCACUUGUCCAUCUGGUUUUGAUCAACGAAACAAGGACGUUGAAGAACCUCUAGCAAAGUCAUAAAUUCAAAAUAAGAAACAAUCUGCUUUAGCUGUUGCAUUAUCUGUCCAACAGUUGCACGACAUGAUAACGAACACUAUCAGGGCUCAAUAUGGCGGAAGACCACAAAGUUACUUGUAGUAAUCCAAGCCAUACACUAGACGGAUUGAUUGCCUAUCGAUGCCUACAAACUAUCAUCCACCAAAGCUAUAACGAUUUGAUGGCAAGGGAAACCCAAGGCAGCAUAUCGCCCACUUUGUUGAAACUUGUAGCAAUAUUGGAAUAGAGGGUGACCUUUUGGUAAAACAGUUUGCUCGGUCGCUGAAAGGGAAUGUAUUCGACUGGUACAUCGACCUAGAACACGAGUCCGUUGAUAGUUGGGAGAAACUCGAGAAGAAAUUUCUCAAUCGUUUCUACAGUACUCGCCAAACCGUAAGCUUGAUAGAGUUGACCGGCACUAAGCAAAGAAAGGAUGAGCAAGUGGUGGAUUACAUCAAUCGAUGGAGAUCAUUGAGUUUGGACUGCAAAGAUCGUCUUUCUAAAAUAUCUACUAUGGAAAUGUGCAUUCAGGGCAUGUAUUGGGGACUUUUAUACAAACUACAAGGAAUCAAACCGCGAUUCUUUGAGGAACUUGUUACAUGAGCACAUGACAUGGAGUUGAGCAUCAUAAGUUAUGGGAAGGCAUCUCUUUUGGCUGAUCUAACAAAGCAAGAGAAGGACUUCAAAAAAGGUAUGACCUCAAAGAUCCAGACUAAGGAAUCUAUGGCGGUUAAAGCAACUUCAGUAAAAUGUACCUCUAAGAGUAAACUAAAAGAGGAGGAAUAUCCCCAAGUCAAUAUCUAAGAGAGGAGAGACGACGUCCAACCUUGAAUGAAUUAGAGGUAAAGGUAUACCCAUUUUCCGAUUCAGAUGUACCUAUGAUUCUUGAGGAAUUGCUAGCUAAGAAGGUUAUUAAUAUUCCCGAGUCAAAGAGGCCUGAAGAGAUCAACAAGGUUGAUGAUCCUAGAUAUUGCAAGUUCUAUCCCGUCCUUGGCCACCCUACAAGUAAAUGUUUUAUCUUGAAAGAGAAGAUCAUGAUGUUGGUAAGUGAAGGAAAAAUCAUCAUUGACCAAGAUGAAUUUGCGGAGGCAAAUCAUGCUAGUGUAGCACCAAAUCAAAGAAGUGCUCAAGGUCGUCAUCUAUUCCAAACACCACCUUCUUACAGUUUGAAAGUUUAGCUCCCAUUGAAGUUGAUAUUCCAAGGAAAACUCUUGAGGGUCCACUAGAGAUAGACUACCACAAAGAAAAUGAAUAUGAUGGUUGGACUUUGGUUACUUAUAAGAAGCGGAGGCAUCAAGAAGUCCUUAGGAUACGACUUUCUAAGACAAGAGCAACAAAGAGUGACGUGAAUCAACUACAACCAUCAAAAAAGUGCCAAGCCUUUUACUAGCCGAAAGAUCAAUGAUUCUUUAUCGCAGAAGGUUAGAAAACCCAUUAUGUUGGAUGAAUUCUUUCCUAAAAAAUUCUUUUGCAGUAGUCAAAUUGGUUCAACAGAUGUUGUUUCCAGCACAGACGAAACAAAGGGAAGCAAAUGAAAGUAUACUGCAGCAAUAACACAAGAACAUCAAGCUAAUUAAAAAGUUUCCCCAUGUUGUGCUAAAAUUGCCUUUACAGAUGACGACUUGUUGUUAGGGUCUAAGCUACAUAAUGGGCUCUUGUUUGUUAGUAUCAAUUCGAGAACAACAUCUCAAUAGCAUUCUAAUCGAUGGUGGUUCGACAGUGAAUAUUAUGCCAAAAGUUAUCUUGAAAAAACUUGGGAUCUCUAUUGAUGAAUUAUCCAAAAGCAAUCUGACGAUCCAAGAAUUCAAUCAAGGAGGACAACGAUCCAUAGGGAAGAUUCGUGUAGAAUUAUCCAUUGGUGACGUGAAAUCAAACACUUUGAUUCAUGCAUAGAUGCCAAAACAUCAUACAACUUGUUGCUCGGGCGUCCUUGGGUUCAUGAAAAUGGAGUGGUUCCGUCUAGUUUGCAUCAGUGCAUGAAGUAUAUGAAAGAUAGUGAAGUUAUCAAAAUUGAUGCAGACAUCAAUCCUUUCACUGAAACGGAGUCAUAUUUUGCAGGUGCAAAAUUCUAAUUAGAUUGUGGAAAAGCAAAUAUGGAUCAACAUGUAGAAGCCGACCUAACUGAUGUCGAAGAUAGUAAAGUUCAUUGGGCCGCUAUCAAGAUGUCUAAGAAGAGAACGGAAGAGAUUUCCACUAAGCUUUCACUACCUAAAUGAGACGUGCAGACUAAUAUGGUCGACGACCAACCAAUUUUUCACUAUAUUCCACAUGAACAUCGAAAAAGGGGCAACCACUUUUAGAGGAAUGCACUCAACAAGUCGAACCACUGAGGAAGGAACUUAGUCACAUAAAAUUCCAAGAUUUGAAGGAGAAGAUGACUGUCCCAAUUGCACACGUCAUGUGUAUCGAUUUGGAUCCAUCAAAAGGCAAUAGGCAAGUUGGUAAGAUAAGAGGGAACUUUGAUCAAAAGGUCUUCACAUUGUUUGAAAAAUCCGUCUAUGAUUUCUCAAAUCCAACAAAGUUAGGAGAACUCUAGGAUAAAGUCAUUGGUGAAAAGAUACACGGGCUUACAAAGUCUCAAAUGCAGUUGCGAAAGUAAGGAUAUCAUGUCGCUACUCCUAAGUUUGGGUUAGGAUUCAACUUGCCGGAGCCUCUUUGAAUUUCGUCUAAGAAGGGGAAAGAAAUAACUUCAUCUCACUACACCUCUACACAAAAUACAAAGGAAACUAAGAAGGGUAAAACACCAUGAUGAACUUUGGUUUUCGAAUGCAUUGGACGACUGACACUUCGUGUUUCUACAUUUGAAAGAUUGGGCCGCAAGGAUGAAAGAGGAUCUUCUAAACAAGUGGACGAAGAUGCCACCACCUCAAAUACUUCUGUAUUCAUUAUCCAAAAGGAGGUUCCUCGAGCAUGAAAAUCAAGAUUCUUGUGAUGUAGUUGACGAUAAGGAUAUUAACAGUUUUUUCCCAUCACUUAUAAAGAGAAAGGAUGUAUUGUCAAUAACCACUGAUGGUUUUUUGAAGGUGAAAAGAAGCACAAUUGUUGUCACCAACCAAUUUCAUGGAGAAACCAAGAAGGAGGAAGAUAAAGCCAUUACAGUCUUCGUGGGAAGUGAGGUGGAAAAUUCAAACUUGACAGAAUCAUCCUAUCAUAUAAUAGUGGAAGAAGGUCCAGACGUUGAUGAUACAAAUGAUGAUGUUCAAAAGACUCCUCCUCAAUCGGAGGAUGGCGUGAAAUCAACCAUAGACGACCUCAAGGAAUUAAAUCUAGGACUCUGGAAGAUCCACGCCCAAUCUUUAUUAGUGCACUUCUCACACCAAAAAGAAGCAAUAUUUCCCAUGAAGGUUGGCUACGCUCCUUAAGGUCUGAACAUAAAUUGCAUGAUACUCCUAGACCGCAAGAGUAUAAAGUAUGUACGGAUCCCAAAAAAACUCAUCCUCUUGAACUACGAUAUGACUUGAUCCUCUUCACUGAGGUACGUAGGCGCUUGGAGAAAUCACUCCGAGUUCAGUCAAAUGAGUAAAAAAAAGAGGAGUUUGGUGGUCCUGCAUGAUCAUCACACUAGCUCUUUAAAAAAAAUCAUGUAGCUAGCAAGUUAGUUCAAAUGCGGCGCAAACGAGCAAAGUAGAAGAGUUUUGAAGCCAUAUCCGCAACAUAAGAAGAAACUCAUAAACAGAAACUCCUACAUUGGAUCAUGGAUCUUCAACUAUGAUAGUUCAAGUUUCCAUAUCAAACAUAUUAGUUUUGGAGUCAACUCCAGAUAUUAAUUUAAUCAAUUCAAAAGGGAUUUUGAUUUGAUUUUUCGAUAUGCAACAGACUGAUGAAUUCAUUGGCAUUGGAUGAAGCGACUUGCGAUUCUACUCGUGUUUUUGCUUACGAUGUAGAUAAUUUGGUGUAAUUUACUGAUGCUUCAGUAAGUUACUCAAAAUUAGGAGCAUCUUUACCUGCAAUUUCACAUCGGAAUACCCUUCGGAUCAAAGCUCUAUGUUUGAAAUGACAUAGCCGCAAAAAAAAAAAAUCAUGAUCUGAACUCUCCAAGUUCAAGAGACAGCCUUUUGUUGUCGUCAAAAGCUCAUAAAGUUCAUGAAACAACAUUCUAGUCAUAUAGUCAACUUGAAUUUUUUUUGUAGACUCCUACGCCGCGUAAUUGAUUUUCUCCCAAAGUUGCGCAAAGCUGAAAAAGUUUAGCAAAACAGAAUUUUGAGCUGACUUUGAAAAGAUAUCCGUGCUAAUCUGGAAAUUUUUUGGAUGUGAUUUUUAUGUUUGUUGCACAUCUAUGAGUUAUUCUUUCAACGGAAUGGGAAUCACAUCAUUUCAAGGCUCCUCCGCCUUUCUCCCGAAGAUGCGCAAAGCUGAAGAUUCAAGCACGCAGAUUUUGAGCCAAUUUCAAACCCAAAUCUGUACUAAACCAUAAAUACCAUGGAUUUGAUUUUUAUACAAAUUGAAUAUCUCUAAGUUUUCUUUCAAACGAAAAAAGAAGCUUGUUAUUUCGAUGCUCCUACUCCGUGUUAUGAAUUUUCUCCCACAUAUGCGCAAAGCUGAAGAUUCAAGCAUGCAGAUUUUUAGUCAACUUCAAACUAAAAUUUGUACUAAACCAUACCCAUGGAUUUUAUUUUUAUACAUAUUGAAUCUAUCAAAGUUAUAUUUCCAAAAAAAAAUAAAAUGAAACUAGUCAUUUCGAUGCUCCUACUCCAUGUUCUCAAUUUUCUUCCACAUGUGCGCAAAGCUGAGGAUUUAAGCAUGCAGAUUGUGAGCCAACUUCGAACCCAAAUCUGUACUAAACCAUAAGUCCCAUGGAUUUUAUUUUUAUACAUAUUGAAGUCUCUAAGUUUCCUUUCAAACGAAAAAAGAAGCUUGUUAUUUCGAUGCUCCUACUUCAAGCUAUGAAUUUUUUUCCACAUGUGCGCUAAGUUGAAAAAGCUGAAAAAAGUAACGUUUUGUUGCAAUACUCAAAUAAACGCUAGCAUAUGCAGUCUUUUUUUAAAAAAAAAUUAAACGGGGCUCCUGGAAGAAACAAUCAAAAAUUCGAAGUUCAAGAGAAGAAAAUUUGUCACUAUUUUAUUGCUUAACAAAAAAAAAAGAACCACUACACUUUAAUGAGCGAGUAAGAAAAUUCUAAGCAAAUAAAUAAAAAAAAAAAAUCUAACUACGAAAAAGGCUUGAAACUUAUGAUUUCUUGACGUCUUUUCUCAAUUGCCUCUUCUGGUUUGGCUAGUCUCUUAAUCUCAUCGUUAGACAUCACAUUAUUUGCCUCAAUGGUAUAAAUCUCGCCCUCCAUAGUGGUGACAUUCUCUCGACUUCUGAACAACUGCUCUUGAUAUCUGUUAUGAACUCGGUGACCUUCUUUUUCUUGGAAGAUGAGGCUUUUAAGUCUUUCUCCACAUAUUCUAGAGUUUCUUGAAGUUUAUCCAUGGAUACAUCUAACUUUUCAUGUGCCAACUUUGCACCAUCAAGACGACGCUGCGCAUCAGAAAGGGUCUUUUCAUGUGAUUCUUUAGUUAUCUUUGAUGAUCUUAAAGUAUCAUAUUCUGCGUACGACUUGAAGAAAUUCUAUACAUUUCCAAAGAAGAGACAUCAAUAAUGUUUACCUUUCUGAUCUCCUUAAGUGUUGAAACGAUACUUGACUCCAAUGUUGUAAAGUCAUACAAAGAACCUAAGGAAAAUUGUGUAAUCCAUCCACAUACUGCGCCCCACAUCUCAGAAACAAAGGCUGAUUUGUCACGGUAAAUGGUUUCUUGUGGCUCAAAAGUAGGAGCACCAUGUCGCAAUGAAGGCAUCAUGUCACUAGAAGGUGAUUUUCUUGGUGGAACUACUUUUGAUGAAGGGAUCACAUUAUUAAUGGAAGAAUGGAAGUCUUUUGUAGCCGCUUCAAGAUCAUUAAUAUCUAUUGUGAAACCUAUAACCGCGCCAUUUUUAAAGUCGUCACCAUAUAGUUCUUGAAGGUCCAACUAAAAAAAACUAAGAAAUGAAAAGAUGAUCACAAUAAAAAAAGGAGAGGGUCUUGUUUCGCUAAUUCAAACAGAGAUGCCGAGUUCGAAUCCUCAUCAACAAAGUCGUUAUCAUCAAUGAGAAUGAUACCUAAAAUGUCAAUACCAUGACAAGCAUAAUCUAGCUCUUGUGCCUUUCUUUUUGGACGAUUCCACUGACGAUCUGUUGGACUAGAAGAGACAUUGAGUCGUCCAACACCAUUCCGUGAAAGCAUACAUAAAAUAAAUUUCAUCACAAGGCAUAUCAAUGUUUGACCUUUGGCCAUUAUCAUUGUCUGAUGAUACAUGAAGUUCAUUUUUUGUACAAGAACCAUGACGAACUUUGGAAGCAAGUGAAGUCGUCUUUGAGGCUGAUGUGAGGCGCCUCGAUUUUGAUUUCGUAGACACAUCCCUAUCUUUCAAGGUUUUUGACUUGGAUGAGGUCUUAGAGACUUGCAAAGUAUCAUUUGACUUUGCUUGAGAUUUAGAAAAAAAAUGUGACUUCCUUUGGUUGAUCAGAAGCCUCUUUAGAUGAAGUGGAUGCGGAGUCUUGCUUUAUCUUCUUCAAAAUAAUGCGGAGGUUUCCUUGGGAGGUAUUCAUCCUUUGGGAUGGGUACCAGUUUACAUACAAACGGAUCAUUAAAGGAGCACCCUCCAAUGGGCACGUGGAAUCAUGACUUUAGAAAAGGUAUUGAGUCGAAAAGAAGAAUUCCAAAGUUGCACCAAUGUUAACAGUGUACCAUCGUAAGGACUUUCUAUAAGAUCUUCGGGGACAUCUUGACAAACACCAAAUUAUCGACUAAAUCUGACAGGGUUGUAGGAUUCCACAACGAAAUUUGAAUCAUUCCUAAGGGUUACAUAACCUGAACGAAGGCUUAUGACAUAUUCGUUCCACGAAUUUGAAAGCUUAACGUUAUCGAUAAGGUGCAAAUCUUUCCCUUGUAGCAUCACGAAAUGAUAGAGGCGACGGGAAUCAUUCCGUUGAUUUAACUUUUGGGCGUAAGGUAAAUCAAAAAACUUGGCCAUCUUCUCGUCAGAAAUUUUGCAGAGAGGUAUCGAGCGAUGUGAACGAUUGACGCGAUGAUGAGUCCCAAAGUAUUACCCAAGCCAUCCAUAUGCAUAGUGUAUGGGGAAAAUUAUAUUUUCCACACUCAAGUUUGAAGAAGUAGAGAUUUAUCGUAGGCCGUGAUAUAUGCUUGCAAGAACAGGGACCACUAAGGAGAAUUCUUUCCAUGAGCCAUCAAGCUCGCAACUUUGAAAACACUAGUGCGCACAUGGUUGACUUUCUUAUUCGGAAGCACAAAUUUGAAAAUCCAACAAGCAAAGAACUUUGCCAAGUUUGUCUCAUCUCUAAGCGAUUCUUCCACAUCUAAAUCGAUAAAGGGGGCAUUCUCCUCGUCAGUCCGCGGCAAGAAGUUUGAAUCAAUGUGUCCGGAAGGAUUGUGGUUCAAUCUUGGCUUUGUGUAUUGUACCUUUAACACCUUUUGCUAAGGUUCAUCAUAUCUAUGAGGUUCUCUAAACCAAAACUUCACCCAAUCAUGGACGGACACCUUUUGGAGAUCAUCUUUCACUAAUAUAUAGAAGACCAUAAACAAGUAUCAACAACUUUGGGGAAGAAGCAAUUCGUUUUGAGUAUCUGUCUUUGUCAAUUCAUUCGCCGAGGAACGACUCCAUCACAAAAAUGCCCUUGUACGGGGAGACCUGCAAUGGCUUGCAAAUUACAAAGUGAUAUGGACAUCUCUCCAAUGAAAGUAGAAAGUGUAUUCGUAGACGGACUCCAAAAUUCACAAAAAGCAUGGAGUACAUUGUCUUCAUAGUCGUACGUGAACAUAGAAGCAAUUCAUCAUGACACAUCAUCUUCCAAAAUCUCCCUGUAACGAAACACCACGUCUUCUACCCAUUCGCAGUAGCCAGGUGUAGCAAACAUUAUCGAAGUUAGAGGGAACAUGCCAAUUGUUGAAAUUUCCAUCAGAAUUAGUAGAUUUAAAAGAUUGAUGAGUCAUGAUGAAUUGCGGAUUUCAAAAAAAAAACUUUCAUGCUAGUAGCCUUGCUUGAGAAGUUUCUCAUAACGUCGUUGGUAUCCAUUUUUGACAAUUCUUUAAGUAGAAGAGAUUUGUCAUAUUCCCCACUAACAAGAGAGAAGACGCCGAUAGCAGGAGGCUGAACUUCCAGAAGUAGAACUUUGGCAUUUGAAUUUUGUUGGUCGUCGUCCACUAUUUCAAGAAGAGGAUGCGGCGAAUCUCGGUUGCGGAAGUGCAUCAUGUUGCGGUAUCGAAGUUAUAUUUCUCUAUCAAGUAUCCACAAAAACAUUAAACAAAAAGGAAAAAAUUAGAUUAAGAACAAGUCCAAAGUAAAGGGGGUAACCUCAAAUUUUUGCAACUAGCGAAAGACUGAUUUCAGAUAGAAAAAUGAAUCAGCACAGAGGUGAUCUAAUAUUAUUUCUCGUAUAUGAUGUAUCCCUAUGAAUUUUAUUUCCAACACCAUAAACGUCUUGUGAUUUCGUUAUUCCUACGCGGAAGUAUGAAUUUUUCUGCGAAGUCGCGCAAAGCUGAUGCAUUAAGUUCAUCAGAAUUUUAGGCUGAGUUCAAAAUAUCACCUGAGUAAAUUCGAGACUUCUUUCCGUGAUUUUCGGAUAUGUUGUAGCUAUGCAAGCUUAGUUUCAUAAAUAUCAAAUGGAUCGCAAUCUGAGUAUUUCAACAAUGAGAUAUGAAUUUUCUACCAAAGUCGCGUGACCUGAAAAGGGGUGACGAAAAUCAGAGUUAGAAAAGAAUUUAAGAUGACUCAGUUGAACUUGAUGAUACAACAAUGCAAAAUACGGGUGUAUAUAUAGCUUUCAAAACAAGGAUAAACAAAUUUGAUUCCUACAAAUUAUGGAAAAUUAUAAUGAUGGAAAGUUUAUUUCCUACAAAGUACGAAAAUUAUGAUAAGUUUUCAUAGGAAUUUAAUCAUUGAAAUUUUCCAUGAGAAUCAAAUUGUAGGAAUCCCAUUGAAAUCAAAUUAUGGUAAGUUUUGCAUAAGAAUUAAAUUAUGGAAAUUCUCUAUGAAAAUCAAAUUAUGGGAAUCCCAUAGAAACCAAAUUAUGUUAAGUUUUCAUAUGAAUUAAAUUAUGGAAAUUUUUCAUGGGAAUCAAAUUAUGGAAAUUCCAUGAAAACAAAAUUAUGGAAAAGUUUUCUCAGAAACUACAUAAAAAAGUAUGCCGAAGGAGAAUCGACUCGCUUUCAUGAGAAUUUGAAUUUUUUGCGUUCUAUUCAAGUGAAAGCCUAAAAUUUGCGUUGAAACCAGAAGACCUCUAUCACUAAGUCAAGCUUGUGGACGCAAUCCUUACUCAUUGAAUUGGCGGUCAUUUCGUAAGUGAUGACCCAAAUGAAACUACCACACUAUGAAGAAAUGUCAAGGGAUAAGUUUUCAAGAGCUUGAAACACUUCAAGUCAAAAUGAAUUGAUAACAACCGAAAGUCAAAAGACCUCUUAAAAAUUAGAGAAUGUUGUCAUGAAGACUUUGGUAAAGGUUGACCUCAACAUAUCGGCAUGGUCAUUUCUCAUGGAAACUUCUCCUUUCAUUGUCAAAAUUCGGCAAACCUACAAGCAGAGAAGUCUCAAAAAGAGUAAUAGGAAAACAAAUCCAUGACUACUUCAAGUCUUGUUGCCAAACUUCGGCAAGCCUUUACGUCGACAAGCCUCGAAGUAAGGGGCAUCUGUAGACACAUAAAUUGUAUUGGAUAAAAUUUGAAAUAAAUCUAUGUUUAGUGGGCUGAAUAAUUAAUUUGAGCUUUACAAAUUAAUAAGUUCAUCUUAUUAAAUUCAAACAAGCUUCAUUUCACCUUGAAGCCCAAACCAAUGCCACGUGUCAUAGUGACUAGGCAUCCAAGACCAACAAGGUGAAGCCACAUGUCCAAAUGAGGUGGUAGUCCCAGUCAAAUGCAAGAACGAAUCAAAAUGCGCCAAGUGUCAAAAUGACAUCCUUUGGCCAAUCACAAGCAACCUUGUCCACUCCGUACAACUAUAAAUAGGGGAUUAAUAUGACAUUCAAGGGGAUCCAGAAAACUCUUCAACAAGUAUUAAGAAAAUUGGAGAAAGCUACAACAUCAACAUCAACAAAAAAAUACUCAAAAUAAAAAAAAUACAUAACUCAGUCCUUAACAAACUUAAAUAUUAACAUUUUAAAUAAAUAGUGAAACUAUGACUAAGGGGUCUCACUAGAAACUAAAAUAUUGUUGUUUUGAAAAUUUUAUUGUAGUCAUAAUACCUAACAUAAUUAGUCAAAACAAUCACACUUUAAAAUAUUUAUUCAAACUGUCAAUAUUUUUUUUUUUUUAAAUAUGUAUCAAAAUAUUAUUAUUUAUCUUUUCUUUUAUUUCUCAAAACAGUACAAAUGUGGACUAAUUUCUAAACCAAUAAUGGAUAAAAAAGAAAAAAAAAAAUAAAGAUACGACUAUCCAUUACUCUUCUUUCCCCGUCUUUUACGGUUUCUUUUCCCACCAUUCCUGUUUUCUAUUUUUCUCUUUCUUCAAAUUUCUUUGCAGAUCAAGAAAAAUAAAUUAUUCAAGGUUCUCAUAAUUUGCUCAACAAUUCUCUAAAUUAAUUCAAUAAAUCUCUUUAUUGAUAAAGAUAAUUUCAAUUAUUUAGUAUGAUUUCUUUUGAUUUUGUUUUCAAAAUCACCGAUUAUGUUGUAAUUCUGAUUUUAUAUAUUAUAAAUUUUCUGUCAUUUUUUUCAAUUUUUAUAUGAGUUUUUUUAGAUAUUCAUCAAAUAUAUCAAAUUCAACUAAAAGAAGAUUGGAUGGUUUAUGUGAAUGAUUCAGAAGACAAACUACUGUUUUUUAUUAAAAAAAAAGUUUUUGAAAUUUUUAAGAUAAGAGUAAAAAAAGGCUUCAAAGAAUUAUGCCGAUAUAUGCUCUUUCAAUACGUAACUUAUGUUAAUUUUAAUUUUUUAAUUAUUUUUUUGAAAUAUUCUGUUCCAUGAUUUUCUCUAUUGUGUUGUUUAAUAUUUAUAUUUUUCAACUUAAUCAAAAUAAUUUUUUUUUACAUAACUCAGUCCUUAACAAACCUAAAUAUUGAUUUUUUAAAUAAAUAGUGAAAAUAUAGCUAAGGGCCCAAUUAGAAGCUAAAAUAUUGUUAUUUUGAGAAUUUCCCCUUUUAUUUUUGCUAUAAAGAAUGAGUAGGUAUGAAAAUUAUUUUUUGUUAUUUAAAUGUAUACAUUCCUCGCAACAAGAGUCCUAAACUGCUCGAACUUUCCACAAAAUAAAUUCCUACGUCCUUAAAUAAUUUGGAUUAUUUUUUUGCUAUAAAAAUAGUGUGGAAAUUUAGUUCAAAUAUUUAAUUAAAAAUAAUGAUAGUUUUUCAUAAAAACAGAGUCCUUAAAAAUGUGCUAAUUAAAAUCUAUUUUUAUGUUUUAAAAAUUAGUGUCAACAAUAUGCAAUUUUCUUUGCUAUAAAGAAGUAAUCAUUUUGAUUAAUAAUAGUAAUCAUGUAUUAAUAAUAACACUGUCAGUAAAAGAAGACAAAAAAUUCAGCAUAAUCAUCCAAUAUAAAUUAGAAUGUCUUUGACAAUUCAAUUAGUUUCCUAGCAUGCAGUUAAGAGGAAAAACAACACUACUGUGAAUAAAUAAUAAAUGUCAACAGAUGCAUUUUUUAUUCAGAAAAUGGUCAAAUAGGAACACAAUAAGAAAGAAUAAGAGAGAGCCCAAUAAACAUGAAAUUCAAUGUCUUUAAUUCAUUUAUGCUAAAAUUUGGACAAACCAUAAAUGAAAUCAUUAACCACAUAAUUCUUCUCAAUCAUUUCUCUGACUUCCCGGUGCAUAGAGACUAUUGGACGUACUGAAUCCUCACAUAGAUCCCCUUUGUUGAGAUCUUGUUACGAACCUGCUUGUUGACUUUAACACAAAACGAUGUUUUUGGUAACAUUUCUAACACGGCCAAUGCAUUAAUGGUCUUAAAUGUCGGUUAUAGGUAAAUCUCCCAUAACAAUGAACUAAGGUUACUUCAAGAAGUAUCUCACAAAGGUUUUAUAAUAUAUGCGUUUAUAUAUUAUGUUUUCCAAAUAUUUGUCUUGUUAAUUUGUUUAUUUCUUAUGUUCCUCAAAUAGUUUUUUGUGUUCUACAAAUAAAAAAGAAAUAUUUUGUCACAUUGAAUGGUUCAACCAUUCUUAUUAUUUCCUUGUUCCUAUUUCGGACAUGGCUGAACAAGAACAAACUCGUAUUACUCUAAGUUGGAGUUCUCAAAGUCGAGUAAAAGAUAAUGUAGAAGAGAACGUCAUUGUAGGACAUGUAUCCGAGUGCAUGAAAUCAUAGAUUGGUGUCCCUAGGAGACACAAAAUUUGUUGAGGAAUCAAAGGUCCAUCCAAAGGCAUAUGAUGGAUUGUUAUUCUAUUGCGCAUUAUCAUAUGGUUUUUGAUUAUUAGACAUGUAAAUCUUUGUGAUUAUGGUCUAAAAUAUAUCGAUAUACACGUUAAGAUAUUAGUUUCAAAUUUUAGUUAAAGUUCGUAUAUGCUGAUUGGAUACUUAUGUGUCUUUUAGAUUUUACAUUAAAUAUGAAACCUUUAUGAGAAUUGAUUCGUUUGAAUGUGUAUGCCUCCUACAAAAUUCAUUUUUUUUUGCCUUAUUGCCUCUUAAACAUAGUCAUGACAUCAAAAGGUAUCAUUGCCGACUCAAACAAAGAUGAAAAUUAAAUGGUGACAAUUACAACACCUGAAAUCAUAAAAUAUGGUAAUGUACCGAAAGAGAGAAUGCGCGGAAUAUAUAAAUGAUGUUUUAAAUCAACCAGAAACGGGAAUCAUUACACAUCACAAAAGAGAUCUUGAAGCUUAUAAAGCUUAGAUAAGGCUAAUUUUACUGCACGUAAAAUAAUAACAAUUCUGUGGUUGAUGACCUCAUAUAUGAAUUUGAGGAAUUUUCUAUAUGUAACUCCCUUCCAACAGUUGGCUAUCAAUUUUGACACAUAUAAGAAACGUCAUGACCAAAAUGUCAAUAACACUUUAGGGUGAUGUCGAACAUGAUAAUUCAACUCAAGAGCGCUGGCCAUGUUCUUUCAGAUGAGGAACAAGUUCAUACAAUGAUUCAUUCUCUUCCCAAUAAUUGGGAACAUUUAAAGGUUAACUUGACCCACAAUGAUAGUAUCAAAGCCUUUUAUGAUAUUGCUCGCCUUUUUGAUCUUGAGGAUGAGCGAUUUUGUGCUGACUAAAGUUGUUUCAAAUGCCUUUGUGGAAAAUUCAAGUGAACACGAAGUUUUCAUGCUUCAAUGGCAAGAGGAAUUGGAAAAAGAAUGCAAAAGACCUAGAUACCGGAGAUAGACCCUCUAAGAAAAAAGGGAACCUUAAUUCCAUGAAAAGAAAACGAUUCUUCAAUAAGAGAGACAAAAGAAAAAUGAAGUGUUAUGAUUGGCAAGUCUUGGGACACUUUGCUCGUGAAUGUACAGAGCCGAAAGAGGAAGCAUUUCCAAACACAUUCUCUAAGUGUUACAUAUGUUUCUAACACUUCCUUAUCAACUGAAUUUUAUCCUAUGUGGAUUUUAGACUUGAUAUCCACCGACACAUGAAUCGAUUUAGACAAGCAUUAGUAACAUUUCGUCGAGUUUCAUUUAAAUCAAAGUGGAUCUACGUGGAAAAUAAUGUGAAACUGAAAGUCAAAGGAAUAGACACUUACAAAGUGGACUUGCGUGGUGACCGUUAUUUGAUGUUGCAUGACAUGCUAUAUGCUCUAGAGAUUCAAUGAAACUUAGUAUUUAUGUAUAUUCUUUUAGAUGCUGGUUUUGAUAUGUUAUUUAGUUGUAUUGGUAUUAGAAUAACUCUAGAUAAUAUUUUACAUGGUCUUGGACUAUGUUGUGAUUGUUUUAUAAUUUAAAUUGUAAUUCUUCAACUUAUGACUAAUAUGUAAGGACAUGUAUAAAGUAACAAUGAUAUUGAUUUUAUUACAUGACAUACAAUAUUAGGUCACAUAGGCAAGAUCGAAUGAAUAGAUCGGAAAAGAAGAACAUUUAGCUUCUUUUAGUAAAUUAAUAUGCCAACUUGUAAAGAAUUUCUUUCUAAAGCCAUUUUGGAAAGCUUAGAGAGUUGAGUUCCCACUUUAAUUAAUUCAUUUAUUAUAUUUGUGGUCCAAUAAAUAUGAGGGGAAGGUCUGGUGUCAUGUACUUUAUUACAUUUAUUGAUGAUUUCACGCGUUUCAGUUAUGUUAUUUGAUUUCUCAUAUAUCUGAACCACUUGAGUUCUUUAGAAAAUAUAUGAUGAAGUUGAGAAUCAAUUAGACAAAAACAUAAAGUCUUUAAGAACCGACAUAGGGCAUAAAUAUUUGUCUAAACAAUUUGAAGAAUGGUGUACUGAAGAAAAAUAUUAUCAAACUACUCCUUAUACACCUCAACAAAAUGGUGUAGCUGAAAGAAGGCAUAGAACAUUAUUUUUCAUUGUUGACACACAAUUUUGACCGACCUUUAACCCUUUUUUAGAAUGUUAUUCGAUUAAAUACGUAUUUUUAAAGCAUAUCUCGAGUUUCAAUUCUAAUAAAUUUUGUCUAAAAUUAUAUAUUAUUAAGUUAUUUUAUUAUUAUUAAAUCAUUAUAGUUAACUCAAAAUAAUUAUCAUACUCAAAUGUUUUAAAAUUUAACUAAAUUUUAUUAUAUAAAAAAUAUUUAAUUAUUUGUUAUAUUUUAACUGAAUAACAUUUCUAUAAAUUUCCUCUAAAUCAUUUCAAAUUGUAGUCUAUUUUAUUCUAAUCCACUUCAAUUCCAAUUGUAUUUCAAUUAUAGCCAUCCAAUCAUCUCAAUUCUAAUCAAUUUUAUUGCAAUUUUGACCAUUUCAAAUUCAUUCCAACUCUCAUCCCAUCCAUCCAAUCCUUAAAUUAAGUCUUAAUAGAAUCCUAGCCUUUCAUCUGUUAUUAAAUCAAUAGACAAGAUUGAUUCGUGUAACUCUUUCCUAUUUUAAUCUAAAAAGAACUCAACCCUAUUUUUUACUCUCAUUUUUUAUCCUCUCUUGAAAAGUGCCACAACCCUCUCCUUUCCAUUCUAUCUCGUUCCGGAGAGAAGCAGUAGGCAAAGGAGAACUAAUCGAUGCCCCUCCCUUCUUCUUUCCUCUCUUCUUUACUCCUUCUCUCCCUCUUUAUUCUCUCUUCUCCAGCCAGCGUAGCCAACAUCUAGGUGAGAAAGCAAUGUCCAACUGCCAGCUAAACAGCAAGCAACUCGAUGACGCAAACCAACGACGAGAGAGCAAAACCAGUAGCAACUGCUAUCAACGAAGACCUUCGAAAAAGUAGCAAGACUCCGGCAAGCAGUCGCUGGCCACCAACAAUAAAAUGUGGGUCCAAUCACCAGUAAUACUGUAACACCCCAUAGCUAAAACAGACAAAAAUCAGUUUUUUAGAAAAUUUGCAGGUGCAACGGACAAGACCAUCGACGGACUGUAGCUUGACCCACGUUCCAUCCUGCACAAUCGUCGAUGGGAUAUGAAAAUCCCAAAUAUCUCAGCCCAGGAAAAUUGGUUAAGUGUUGGUGGACGGACGGACUUACGUUCCGUAGGUCAGACUAUGGUUCAUAGUCUAUGAUCGUUGAUUAAGAAUCCCUUCACCCACUCUCUAACAAGAGCUACAAAUGACCAGCACAGUCCGUAGGUUAGACAGUAGGUGGGAAUUAGCAGACAAUUAAGGGGGGAAUGUAGUUAGGUCAACUUCAAAUGUUCAUAACUCUUAGCACAAAAUGAAUUAGGUGUCACAUGACCUAUCUAUAGAUAGAUAAUUGAAUUAUCUUUCCAUAGCCAUUGACCUUGAUAUAAUCAGACCUCCGAGUAAAAGGUUAUGCCCAUUUUAGUAAAGGUCUAUCGAAGAGGCCCAACCAACGGACCAACCGACGGAGCGUCGGUCAAUCGACGGUCCGUCAGUCCUGGCCAUCGAUUGGUCCGACAAUAACUUUCCUAGGUUUUGUUUGGACCUUUCUGUUUAAACCCUAAUAUACGUCGUUUUGACCUUAAAUCAUCAGAUUUUAGUCAGUUUAAGGUUAGAAACAUAAUUAAAACAUAUCUAAGUCAAAUCAUUAAAUCAAAACUUAGAAAAUUAGAAGCAAGAGAGGAGAAAAAGCUCAAGAACCCUAGUUCAAGAACGCCAAAAGCUCCAGCAGUUCAAGCCUCGAAACUUAAGUGUUUUUUCGUGGAUUUCAUCACCAAGUAUGUAGGAUCUCACUAAUGGAUUCCUUUCACCCAUUGGGUCCCGAAUUUUCAGUCAGAUUCUUGAUUCCCAUAUCAUGAUUAGACAUAGGGUUUCUAGAACUUCAACAGAACUUCAUGAACUUAUUAGUUAUAUAUUCCAAAUCAGAUUAUCAUGUUAUUAUUCAGUUAUUGCAUGAUUUCAGAACCCUAGCUUUGUAUUUCUUUAGUUCUUGAAUUACACACGCUAUGUCAAAUAUUUCAGACACUUCAGAUAAACAUGCCUUAGUUAUAAAUACAUAAUUACCAGAUUAAUUGUUGUAUUCUUAGUUUGCAUGUUCAGCUUUGAGCUAUCCAGUAUUUACAGAAACUCAGACAUAAUCAGUAAAUUUACAAAUAUCAUUGGGAGUAGCAUAAUACCGACUUGGACUAGAAUUUAGCGUACCCAAUAGUCCCAGAGCUACAAGCCAAGUAAGUUGUAAGUCUCCUCUGUGGAUAAUCGGUUUAGUGAUCAUGAUAGCAUGCCUUUAUACCUUUGGCAGGGUAUAUUGGGUCCUCUCAAUGGGGCGUAUACAUUGGACUCCACAUUUAGCUCAUGUGAUUUUAUUAUCAGUUAUUAGUAGCUCCCAUAGAUCAGUCAGACUCUCUGCAUUGAUCAUUGAUCAUUUAUCAGUAUAUAUAGUAUUCAGUUUCAGCAUGUUGUAAAUUGGUCAUUGCAUCCAGUUAGCUCAGAAUUCAGUUUAUCUUGUCAGAUUAUUAUGCUUGGUUGUAUGCUUGUUCAGUUAUGUUUUAUAUCUGCUUGAUUUUAUCCUACAUGCUUAGUACCUUUCAAUUACUGACGCAUACGUGCACUACAUCUUCUCGUGAUGUAGGUUCAGGUUUUCAGCAUCCAGAUCACGCAUCGAUCGAUUUUCGAUCUCCAAUUUUGCAGAUUCAAUGGGGAGUACUCGUUUUCCGAGGAUAAGAGUCAUGAGUUUUUUUUUUUAGUAUUUAGUCAUUUAGUUUCAGUUUUUGCUAAAUUUAGGUGGGGCUUGUCCCAGUAUUUGUAGUCCAGUUUAGAUGUUUAUUUUAGACAUAGUUUCAGCUUAGUGUUGAGUUAGUAACUUCGUUGUAUUAAACUCAUCAGUUUUCAUAUAUAUCAGUUUUAGCAUAUGGGUAUUCCCCAUCUUUUCGUUAUAAGUUAUGAUUUAGCUUCCGCAUCAGUUUAUAUUCUUUAGUAUGCUCAUGAUUAUGCC